AAUUUAGGCUAUAUAAACCAGAGACCUUCAAAGCCUCAACAAGGGACAACAACCCUAAUUUCUG
rnacentral:tRNA from 1 species